GCAGCCGCGGUAAUACGUAGGGAGCAAGCGUUGUCCGGAUUUACUGGGUGUAAAGGGUGCGUAGGCGGUAAAGCAAGUCAGAAGUGAAAUCUAUGGGCUUAACCCAUAAACUGCUUUUGAAACUGUUUUACUUGAGUGAUGUAGAGGUAGGCGGAAUUCCCGGUGUAGCGGUGGAAUGCGUAGAGAUCGGGAGGAACACCAGUGGCGAAGGCGGCCUACUGGGCAUUAACUGACGCUGAGGCACGAAAGCAUGGGUAGCAAACAGGAUUAGAUACCCC
rnacentral:rRNA from 1 species